rnacentral:rRNA from 1 species
CAGUCGCCGCGGGAAUACGUAGGGUGCAAGCGUUGUCCGGAAUUAUUGGGCGUAAAGAGCUCGUAGGCGGUUUGUCGCGUCUGCUGUGAAAUCCCGAGGCUCAACCUCGGGCUUGCAGUGGGUACGGGCAGACUAGAGUGCGGUAGGGGAGAUUGGAAUUCCUGGUGUAGCGGUGGAAUGCGCAGAUAUCAGGAGGAACACCGAUGGCGAAGGCAGAUCUCUGGGCCGUAACUGACGCUGAGGAGCGAAAGCGUGGGGAGCGAACAGGAUUAGAUACCCCGGUAGUCCCUGUCUCUGAUAC